AACUCCUUUAAUUUCAUAGUCUAAAAAUUGAUAUUCGUGAUGCAUUUGUUAAAAGUUUUGUUAGUUUACGUGUUUCUAAUAUCACCAAUAAAAUGUGUUGUAGGGGAAACUUCUCCACAAUUAAUUUAUGAAUUGUCUGAAAUAACAAAAAACUUAACAGAUCUUUCCAACAUUAUCGACGAUAAUAAUUAUAUGACAGGCGAUAAAAAAGAAGAAUAUGUCUUUACAACACUGGAAACUAUUUACGUUAAGAUUGGAGGGUUGAACCAAUCACUUUACAGAGAUGAACAAAGUGUGAAUAUCAUUACACUUGCAAGUGGUUUUUCUGUUGUCGAUAUAACAACCAUUUACACCCAUUUUAAUGUAAUGAACAAUCUUGUCAGAAAUUAUAAAAAAAGUGCCAAGUCUAUGUUACUUGCUGAAGCUAAGAAAAUAAUUUUACCAAAAACAAACUCAUCAGUUGUAUUUUUGAGCGGAAAAAUUUACGAACAAGUAACAAGUUCAGAUUUUUUAGAAAUGUUUCAGGAAAAUUUGAGGGGGGAUAAAGGUUCCUGUAAUGUAUUUCAAUCUUCACGACAGCUAUUUGACAAUUUUAUUAAUGGUAUUCUACUAAUACACAGUGAGUCAUUUGUUCUCGAACAAACGGCUUUCAGUAUUAAAAACUUGUACGAACAAGCUGUCGUUGGUAGUAAGAUGCAACAAAGUCAAGAUAAUUUUAUCGUAGACAUUAACAUUAUAACAAGACUGAUGAAGCAUUAUGCUGAAAAAAUACCAACAGAAAUGUGGAGAUGCCAUCCGGAUAAGCAUAUUAAAGGCGAAACAUACUUGGAAAUUACCAACUUCCUUCAUGGUUACUUAGUACACCAAAGAAAUUUGGACCCCCAAGGGCGAUGCGUAAACGAUUGUAAGUCUUUUAAAAUGACAAAAUUUCAACAAUGUGUUUAUGAUAAAGCAUGGUGUAAAGAAGAAAUUCCUUGUGCCAGAAUCAUUAGUUGUAGUACGUCUAUUGAUUCAACAAUGGAAAUCUGUCCUGCUAAUUUCCCUGAGGAUAACAGAAGAUAUUACCACAUAAAAUUACAUAAAGGAACAUUUUUUGGAACAAAAGAACCAUGCAACAGCGAAACGACAGUUUUGGAAUUAAACAAAUACUACAGCUAUUUGCCAACUUUUCAAUGUCCUUAUUGUUUUUGUUUGUGUGAGGAGAGUCACACUUUAUCUUCUGAUAGAUAUAUUAAUUUACGGAUUAGUAUGGUUAAUAUAAGUGAUAACAGAGUUGUCACAGGCUUGAGAUUCAUUAAACACAAUCGAAUCAUUCAUUUGCAAGUACAAGAAGGAAAACUUCUUCAAAGGGGUUAUGUUGAUCCAAAAACUGUUCAAUGGGUCCCCCCUGAAGAUUAUAAAAUCACUGAUAGAUAUAUUUCUAAGGGACAAGAUUAUCAUACAUUCUCUUGGGAAGGACGAAUUAUAGAGUUAACUGAAAUAAAGGCCGAAGAAGGAUCAGUUGUAACAGGUGUUAGAUUCAUUAAAAAAAUGGAUAGUUUAAGUUUACAAGUUGUGACAACAGCAUUCGAUUUUAACACUGGAAAACUAGAAAAAAAUCCAAAUUGUAGUACAUUUAAAAGCACACCAAAUUUCUAUUGGAGGCAUAAAUUUAAGGAAAAUGUUAAGUUAGAGUCACCAGACAUUCCUAUUCGUAAAAAUUUGGCGUCCACUGAUUUCUCAAAAAACAAGUGUAUUAAAUUUACUAAUACAGACUACCAAAAGGACGCCGGACAAACGACGAUACCAUUCUUCGACGCCCAACCUGUUAAUAGUACUAUUCCAACUCCAUUAUCUGGUGUAGGUCUCUUUCACAAAGGGCACAAAGGAUCUGGAGGUUUUAUAGCACCAAAAAUUUUCACUUACGAUUUUAGUAAAUAUAUACUAGUGAUACAUGCAGAGACUCGUCCAAUGUCGAAUAAACCAAUAACAAAUUCUCAAACGUCACAUAUGGCUACGAAUUAUAAAGAGAAAACGAAUAAUUUCAGCAAAGACAAUGUGACUAAGCCAUCGGAUGUAAAGGCAUCUCAUCUUUCGUCAGAUACGACGAUAACUAAAUAUAAAAAUUCUACCCAGUCACCUAGGACUCCCAGUCUUGUAAACCGAAAAACAAAAACUGCAAUUAAUGUUACCGGUGCAAUCAAUACUAUAACAGUUCGUCCGGAUAGAGACAAUGAAGAAGAUAUUUCCCUGACAAUUACAAUGAUUUUUAUUCUUGUUCCACAGUUACUGCUUUUUAUUGUUGCUAUAAUUAUUUUUAAAAAGCAACUGAAGAAAAUAUGUGUCAAAACUGAUAUGGACAGAAGACCAGAAACUAUACCACUACAAAAUAUUGUAAUUGAGAGCCAUAAUUUAAGAAAUAUUAAAAAAGAAAACUUUAUUGAAUAUUUGAUUUGCAACUUAGAAACCAACGAAUUAGAAGAUGGUUUCCUAAAAUUGCCAACUGUUACGGACAAAACAACGUGGGAAGCAUUAAGAAAUAUAAAUAAUAAUAAAAACCGACAUUGUAAACGAAAUAACCUUCCAUAUGAUUAUAAUAGAGUUGUUCUUAAAAAGCUGGACGGAGUGGGAACAGGCGAUUACAUAAAUGCUAGUUAUAUUAACGGUGUUGAUCGCUCCAAGGCAUACAUCGCGAGUCAAGGGCCAAAAUAUUACACGCUACGAGAUUUUUGGAGAAUGAUUUGGCAAGAAAAAGUUGAAGUAAUAGUAAUGGCGACAAAUUUUAUAAAUGACGACGGAAAUAAAAGACUAUGUGCCGAAUAUCUACCUCCAAAAGUAGAUUCAAUUUUUGAAUGUGGCCGCAUCAUAGUGGAAUUAAUUGAUGAAGAAAACUAUGAAUAUUAUGUCAAAAGAAAGUUAAAAGUUCGUUACUUGAAAUUCCAACGAGAAAUUUGUCAUAUUCACAUACAUUGGCAAUCUGAUAGUCAACUUCUUUAUUCAAAUGAUUUAAUGCCAGUUGUCAAAGAAAUAAAUCAAUUAUACGAAAAAACUUUGCAUCCAGUUUUAAUACAUUCUGGGUAUGGUACAACUAGAACGGGUGUUUUAAUCCUGUGCGAUAUGGCACUAAAAAUGCUUAAAAGUUGCAACACUGUUAAUAUUUACGACUUGGCUAAGAAAUUGGCAGAACAAAGAUGCAGUCUUAUAAAUUCGUCGCAACAAUAUAUAUUAGUUCACUUAUUGAUAUCAGAAUAUAUAAUGGAAGAAGAUUGUCCAUUAACAGAUAGUGCAACUGAAAGUCUUCAAGAAAAAGAUGCUAAAAAUUUGUUGAAAUACAUUGAAGAAUUAUGCUACUAUGACAAAAUUGUUCGAUCUUGGAUGCCCAAAGCUACAGAAACCAAUAUUCCUACAAUUUUUGCUGAUGGCUAUGGAAAACAUGAGAACUAUAUAGUUACACAACUAAGAAGAAAUGUUGAAAAUAAAUCAGCUGCGUUCUGGAUGUUAGUUGCUGAUAAGUCUGUAGAUUGUAUUGUAUCUUUAAGCAACGUGACAAUGCAAAGAUAUGCAAACUCCGAAAAUAAGAAAUACUUCGAGUUAAUUUCUGAUGAAAAACUCCAGUUUCGGAAAUCUCAAGACAUAUACAAAAAUACUUCGUACUGUAUACUUUUUGGUUACAAACGUUACUUUUUCUCGUUUAACUAUGAUGUUUUCGUGCCCAAAUCUUACACUUUAAUAGUUAUUUACAUUUACGUACGGUAAAUAUGUAAUACGUAUACUAUGUUUUAUCUACGCCUGGAGGAGUUGAGGUUGGACAAAUUGGGAGUUCAGUCGGCUACAAAUGUACAAAAGUUCUGAAAUGUAAAAAUAUUACUAUCAAGGUCUCUAAAAAUAAUAAAAUAAAUCAUAAAUACUUUUUUUCAUAAUACUGUAACAAAUGUUACCUGUAAGGGGCGCCAGCUAAGAUGAGGCCAGCGAGAACGAAUUAAAGGCAAAUUUUAACAUAUAAAAAAAACUCAAGUAUAGGAAAAACCUUCAAAAGUUAAGGCGCCCUUUUUACAGAUGUGGACGUUCUCAAUGAUUUUAACGUGCUUUAUAAAAAAUAAAUAUCAAGUUAUCUAGUGUUUAUAACAGUUAUACAAUGUGUUUUUAAAUGAUCCUCAUCUAGUUAACUUUGAAAUUGGUUUACGUGUAAAAAAAAUGAUGCCGCUCUGUUCAAUUGUAUUCUCUGUCAAUAAAUGUCAAAACUGUUGAUUGUGAAAUUCACAAAUUGUCAGUUACUUAAAUUUAAAAAUUUUGUUAAAAUGCAACUAAAUUGUUGCACUAUACAAGAAAACACUUUUAUUGUCGAAGCUUAUUUCCGAAUUUGAGACUUAAUAAAUGGAAAAUGAUAAUAUUCAGUAUUUAAAUGCCUGUUAUUAACUCUAUAAAGCGGCAUUUCUGAUUUUACAUGGGAAAUUCACAGAUGACUAGAUGAGAAUCAUUUACGGUUGUGUACAAUUUGUUGCAAUUAAUAAAAAGUUAUUCAAAAUCAAUUUGAAAUCGAAAUUUGGAUAAUAAAAGCUUAUGACUUUAGAUAGAGAAAAGAAAAGAAAAAUAGUUCACAAAUUCUAUGCAAUAUAUAAAGUGAGUCUCCUAAAAAUAUUCUUUACUACACCUACCACAAAAACUAAUAAUUCCAUAGAAAUUAUAUAAAAAUUUAAACCUCUUAAAUUUAAAAAUAAAUUGUAUACGUCCUGUUAUAAUUCAGUUCAAUCAAUAGACUUAUAGACUUAGACCUUGUUCAAGACGUAUGUACGUACUAAUAAUGUUAUCAAGAAAACACCGUUUCUAUUUUUUAUUAAUUUUCAAAUCUUAAGGUGUAAAAUCGAUUUCUUUUGAUUUUUAUUUUUUUAACAGUAAUCCCUCAAUCCAUUUAAAAAACAUUGGGGACAUGUAAGAAGCUACAAAGACAUCCUAAUGAGCCCUAAAAAAUAAUAAUAUGCCAUUAAAAAAAUAUUUUAUGACGUAAUACUAUUUUGGGACUGUGUAUAGUCAAAAAUUCUUUUCUAGAAAACGUCCCAAAGUAUAAAUAACGUCUACAAAAUAUAAAAAAUCUAACUCUACUAAUAACUGAGCUACAGAAGACGGGAUCUGUGCUGGGCCACGCUGUAUUUUUUUCAGUUAAGAACUGUAAUUUCAGUGAUGUCAAUAAUCAAUUUUUUCGUAAAAUUUCAUUUUAGAGUAGGUAAGGGCAAAGUUGCUCAUUUUUACGCUCAACAAUUAUCUGAAAGAAAAUUUGAUGCGUGAUUUUUAGUUUUUGAAUAAUUAUCAAAAAUCAAACAUUUAUAAUUUUCAAUUUUUUUUUAAGCGAAAACCAAACGAACUAGACAUUUUUAAUUAGGACGUUCUUUAGGCACUUUUUUACAAGGAAUCUGAAUUUGUCAUCGUAUUUUCCAAAACCUUCUUGAUGUCAGCACUCAACUUUAUUUUUUCUUAUUUGAUGAUUUAUUUUAAAAAAUAGUAUUGCAGCUCCAUUCGGAAACACCCAGAAUAUUUAAAAAUAAUUUUAAGGGAGUUAAAGGGUUAGUAACUUAUAGCUUUGGUAAAACAUAAUGAUUUUCUAAUAUUUGAAAGUCAAUAAUUGUCUUUUCCAACUCGACACUCUGGAUAUAAAAAAUUACGUAAUUAUUAAUUUCGCCCUGCAAAAUUUUACACACACGAAUAAUUCUGUAUUGUUGCAGUUGUAUCCUUGCAGAAGAGUUUAUGAAAACGUUGUUAUUAACAUAGAAUUUAUCAAAGUAACAGAAACUCCAGCUUUUGUCUUAAGAACAAUGUCUUUGCUAAUU